GAUAAACGCUGGCGGCGUGCCUAAUACAUGCAAGUCGAACGAAUCUUCUUCGGAAGAUGAGUGGCGAACGGGUGAGUAAUACAUAGGUAACCUGCCCCUGUGCGGGGGAUAACAGGAGGAAACUCCUGCUAAUACCGCAUAGCCAUGAGCACCGCAUGGAGCUCAUGCCAAAUAUCCUUUCGGGGAUAGCGCAGGGAUGGACCUAUGGCGCAUUAGCUGGUUGGCGGGGCAACGGCCCACCAAGGCAACGAUGCGUAGCCGGCCUGAGAGGGCGGACGGCCACAUUGGGACUGAGACACGGCCCAGACUCCUACGGGAGGCAGCAGUAGGGAAUUUUCGGCAAUGGGGGAAACCCUGACCGAGCAACGCCGCGUGAGCGAAGAAGGCCUUCGGGUCGUAAAGCUCUGUUGUAAAGGAAGAACGGCGCAUACAGGAAAUGGUAUGCGAGUGACGGUACUUUACCAGAAAGCCACGGCUAACUACGUGCCAGCCGCCGCGGUAA
rnacentral:rRNA from 1 species